UACCUAGAGGACUAGUGGUUAGGCUCGACGCUCGGACCGCUACAGCCCGGGUUCGAUUCCCGGCUAGGGAA